GGGGCCGCAACGGUUUCGACGUCUUAGUGGAAAUUAUCCCGUGAUGCAGGUCGAGAGUGAGCAUCCUCUCGCUAAUCAAGGCUCAAAACAAGUACAUGCGAACAACAUAGUACCCUUUGCUCGUAAAUCAGCUCUAGUAGCUGCCUAACAACCAAUAAUUCGGUUCGAGCUCUAAUAUGCCACUCCGUUAAGCGUAUUAGAAAACCCAACGGAUGCUGAGGGCGAUUUUCUCUAGUAGGUCGUUCUUUUAAGAAAUUACUAGAGCAUCCCGCUACCUGGGAUAAUAGGUAGUUCCCUCCACGAGGAUUAGAGUGGAUAAGCCUGUGAAUGAAUGGGGCGUUAUGAGCUAUUACGGACGGCAGUUCGACUCUGCCCGGUUCCAUUA
rnacentral:tmRNA from 2 species